rnacentral:rRNA from 1 species
CCUGACCUCGAUUCGAGCGGAA